CCUGAUGCAGCGACGCCGCGUGAGGGAUGACGGCCUUCGGGUUGUAAACCUCUUUCAGUAGGGAAGAAGCGAAAGUGACGGUACCUGCAGAAGAAGCGCCGGCUAACUACGUGCCAGCAGCCGCGGUAAUACGUAGGGCGCAAGCGUUAUCCGGAAUUAUUGGGCGUAAAGAGCUCGUAGGCGGUUUGUCGCGUCUGCCGUGAAAGUCCGGGGCUCAACUCCGGAUCUGCGGUGGGUACGGGCAGACUAGAGUGAUGUAGGGGAGACUGGAAUUCCUGGUGUAGCGGUGAAAUGCGCAGAUAUCAGGAGGAACACCGAUGGCGAAGGCAGGUCUCUGGGCAUUAACUGACGCUGAGGAGCGAAAGCAUGGGGAGCGAACAGGAUUAGAUACCCUGGUAGUCCAUGCCGUAAACGUUGGGCACUAGGUGUGGGGGACAUUCCACGUUUUCCGCGCCGUAGCUAACGCAUUAAGUGCCCCGCCUGGGGAGUACGGCCGCAAGGCUAAAACUCAAAGGAAUUGACGGA
rnacentral:rRNA from 1 species